GCAAUUUUGCCAUUUUAAAUUAGUUGUGCUUCUUUGAGUCAAUCGGGAUCGUCGGUUCAAAUUUAUCAAUGAUCUUCAUUAGCAAUCCUUGACCAUUUUAAUUCAUCCAAUCAAAGUUAGAAAUAACCAAAUAAUAAGCAAUCAAGAAAAUAAGAAAAAUAAAAGAAUAUCUUCUCAUUUCCAAUGAGAAGUUGCCAUGCGCUCAUAUGAGCACCACUCCC
rnacentral:lncRNA from 1 species